UGGCGAGCGUUGUCCGGAUUUAUUGGGCGUAAAGCAUGCGUAGGCGGAUACUUAAGUGGGAUGUGAAAUCCCGGGGCUCAACCCCGGUGCUGCAUUCCAAACUGGGUAUCUAGAGUACAGGAGAGGAAAGCGGAAUUCCUAGUGUAGCGGUGAAAUGCGUAGAGAUUAGGAAGAACACCAGUGGCGAAGGCGGCUUUCUAGACUGUAACUGACGCUGAGGCAUGAAAGCGUGGGUAGCA
rnacentral:rRNA from 1 species